rnacentral:misc_RNA from 1 species
GAUGAAGAACGUAGCGAAAUGCGAUAAGUAAUGUGAAUUGCAGAAUUCAGUGAAUCAUCGAAUCUUUGAACGCACAUUGCGCCCGUCAGUAUUCUGGCGGGCAUGCCUGUUCGAGCGUCAUUACGCCCCUCAAGUCCCCUGUGGACUUGGUAUUGGGGAUCGGCGAGGCUGGUUUUCCAGCACAGCCGUCCCUUAAAUUAAUUGGCGGUCUCGCCGUGGCCCUCCUCUGCGCAGUAGUAAAACACUCGCAACAGGAGCCCGGCGCGGUCCACUGCCGUAAAACCCCCCAACUUUUUAUAGUUGACCUCGAAUCAGGUAGGACUACCCGCUGAACUUAAGCAUAUCAAUAAGCGGAGGA